rnacentral:lncRNA from 1 species
AACACUUUAGUUUGCACAAGCAUAUAUGUAAAUCGGGCUAAUGACAAGGCAUGUCAGUGUCAUCAAUCCUAGUGGCUCAACGAAUUAGGAGACGGAAACGUACGUGUAGCAAAGGUUCACAUGCCCACCAAAAGCAGUACAGCACUAUAUAGUUGGCAGGCAUAAUCUUGGUAAUUAAGCAGGCGUGGUGAUGUAGAUGCCACUGCUAGCAUGCUGAAAACGCA